rnacentral:siRNA from 1 species
UUGCAAUCAAAUGAGGGA